AAGUGGAGCAAUCCAUGAGUAUAGUGGCGACCGGGUGAGUAACACGUGACUACCUGCCCUUGAGUGGGGGAUAACCUCGGGAAACCGAGGCUAAUACCGCAUAACAUCGAAAGAUCAAAGGAGCAAUCCGCUUUUGGAGGGGGUCGCGGCUGAUUAGCUAGUUGGUAAGGUAAUGGCUUACCAAGGCGAAGAUCGGUAUCCGGCCUGAGAGGGCGCACGGACACACUGGAACUGAAACACGGUCCAGACUCCUACGGGAGGCAGCAGUGGGGAAUUUUGCGCAAUGGGGGAAACCCUGACGCAGCAACGCCGCGUGGAGGAUGAAGCCCCUUGGG
rnacentral:rRNA from 1 species